rnacentral:rRNA from 1 species
UCGGGAAUUUUGGGCAAUGGGCGAAAGCCUGACCCAGCAACGCCGCGUGAAGGAUGAAAUCUUUCGGGAUGUAAACUUCGGAAGAAUAGGAAGAAUAAAAUGACGGUACUAUUUUAAGGUCCGGCUAACUACGUGCCAGCAGCCGCGGUAAUACGUAGGGACCAAGCGUUGUUCGGAUUUACUGGGCGUAAAGGGCGCGUAGGCGGCGUAAUAAGUCACUUGUGAAAUCUCCGGGCUUAACUCGGAGCGGCCAAGUGAUACUGUUAGGCUAGAGUGCAGAAAGGGCAAUCGGAAUUCUUGGUGUAGCGGUGAAAUGCGUAGAUAUCAAGAGGAACACCUGAGGCGAAGGCGGGUUGCUAGGCUGACACUGACGCUGAGGCGCGAAAGCUAGGGUAGCAAACGGGAUUAGAUACCCCAGUAGUCCCUGAGCGGGCUGGCAAGGCGCAU